GGGCCCGCACAAGCGGUGGAGUAUGUGGUUUAAUUCGAUGCAACGCGAAGAACCUUACCAGGGUUUGACAUCCUGCGAAUCUCUUGGAAACGAGAGAGUGCCUUCGGGAACGCAGUGACAGGUGGUGCAUGGCUGUCGUCAGCUCGUGUCGUGAGAUGUUGGGUUAAGUCCCGCAACGAGCGCAACCCACGUCUUUAGUUGCCAGCAUUUAGUUGGGGACUCGUAGGAGACUGCCGGGGUCAACUCGGAGGAAGGUGUGGAUGACGUCAAGUCAUCAUGCCCCUUACAUCCUGGGCUACACACGUACUACAAUGCUACGGACAAAGGGCAGCAAACUCGCGAGAGCUAGCAAAUCCCAUAAACCGUGGCUCAGUUCAGAUCGUAGGCUGCAACUCGCCUACGUGAAGGCGGAAUC
rnacentral:rRNA from 1 species